rnacentral:rRNA from 1 species
AUCAACGCUGGCGGCGUGCCUAACCCAUGCAAGUCGAACGCGAAAGCCCCGCAAGGGGUAAGUAGAGUGGCAAACGGGUGAGUAACACGUGGGUGACCUGCCUUCGAGUGGGGGAUAACGUCCCGAAAGGGACGCUAAUACCGCAUGACAUCCUGCUUUUGAAAAAGCGGAGAUCAAAGCUGGGGAUCGCAAGACCUAGCGCUUGAAGAGGGGCCCGCGCCUGAUUAGCUAGUUGGUGAGGUAACGGCUCACCAAGGCGACGAUCAGUAUCCGGCCUGAGAGGGCGGACGGACACACUGGGACUGAGACACGGCCCAGACUCCUACGGGAGGCAGCAGUGGGGAAUUGUUCGCAAUGGGCGCAAGCCUGACGACGCAACGCCGCGUGGAGGACGAAGAUCUUCGGGUCGUAAACUCCUGUCGAGCGGGACGAACGCUUCGCGGAUGAAUAAUCCGCGGAAUUGACGGUACCGCUAAAGGAAGCCCCGGCUAACUCCGUG